UACGCGGGGGGCGAACGUUGUUCGGUGUCACUGGGCUUAAAGGGUGCGUAGGUGGUUUCGUAAGUAAGGUGUGAAAGCCCUCGGCUUACCCGGGGAAUUGCGCCUUAUACUGCGAGACUUGAGGAUUUCAGGGGAAUGGGGAACUCCAGGUGUAGCGGUGAAAUGCGCAGAUAUCUGGGGGAAGGCCGGCGGCGAAGGCGCCAUUCUGGGAAAUUCCUGACACUGAGGCACGAAAGCGUGGGGAGCAAACAGG
rnacentral:rRNA from 1 species